UACGAAGGGGGCUAGCGUUGCUCGGAAUUACUGGGCGUAAAGGGCGCGUAGGCGGACAGUUUAGUCAGAGGUGAAAGCCCAGGGCUCAACCUUGGAAUUGCCUUUGAUACUGGCUGUCUUGAGUACGGGAGAGGUGAGUGGAACUCCGAGUGUAGAGGUGAAAUUCGUAGAUAUUCGGAAGAACACCAGUGGCGAAGGCGACUCACUGGCCCGUUACUGACGCUGAGGCGCGAAAAGCGUGGGGGAGCAAACAGG
rnacentral:rRNA from 1 species